rnacentral:rRNA from 1 species
AGAGUUUGAUCCUGGCUCAGGAUGAACGCUGGCGGCGUGCCUAACACAUGCAAGUCGAACGAAGCCGUGCCGACGGAACUCUUCGGAGGGAAGACGGCACGGACUUAGUGGCGGACGGGUGAGUAACGCGUGGGUAACCUGCCCUGUACAGGGGGACAACAGCCGGAAACGGCUGCUAAUACCGCAUAAGCCUGCGGGGCCGCAUGGCCCGGCAGGAAAAGCUGCGGCGGUACAGGGUGGGCCCGCGUCUGAUUAGCCAGUUGCGGGGGUAACGGCCACCAAAGCAACGAUCAGUAGCCGGCUUGAGAGAGCGAACGGCCACAUUGGGGCUGAGACACGGCCCAAACUCCUACGGGAGGCAGCAGUGGGGAAUAUUGCACAAUGGGGGGAACCCUGAUGCAGCAACGCCGCGUGAGUGAAGAAGUACCUCGGUAUGUAAAGCUCUAUCAGCAGGGAAGAAAAUGACGGUACCUGACCAAGAAGCACCGGCUAAAUACGUG